rnacentral:tRNA from 1 species
GGAAGGUACCGCCGAAUGGACGGCAAGUGGUCUUGAAAACCAUGGGCGCGUGUCAAAGCCGCGGGGUUCGAUCCCUCUACCUUCCU